UAGGGAAUCUUCGGCAAUGGACGGAAGUCUGACCGAGCAACGCCGCGUGAGUGAAGAAGGUUUUCGGAUCGUAAAGCUCUGUUGUAAGAGAAGAACGAGUGUGAGAGUGGAAAGUUCACACUGUGACGGUAUCUUACCAGAAAGGGACGGCUAACUACGUGCCAGCAGCCGCGGUAAUACGUAGGUCCCGAGCGUUGUCCGGAUUUAUUGGGCGUAAAGCGAGCGCAGGCGGUUAGAUAAGUCUGAAGUUAAAGGCUGUGGCUUAACCAUAGUACGCUUUGGAAACUGUUUAACUUGAGUGCAAGAGGGGAGAGUGGAAUUCCAUGUGUAGCGGUGAAAUGCGUAGAUAUAUGGAGGAACACCGGUGGCGAAAGCGGCUCUCUGGCUUGUAACUGACGCUGAGGCUCGAAAGCGUGGGGAGCAAACAGGAUUAGAUACCCUGGUAGUCCACGCCGUNNCGAUGAGUGCUAGGUGUUAGACCCUUUCCGGGGUUUAGUGNCGCAGCUAACGCAUUAANCACUCCGCCUGGGGAGUACNACCGCAAGGUU
rnacentral:rRNA from 1 species